GGACCCCUAGCUCAGUGGUAGAGCGUAAGAUUCCAGCUUUGUAUUGCGUUUCUCUCAUAUGAGAUUUCGGAAUAAGCGCCUCCUUAAGGUCAUCCGUUCAAUCCGGGUGGGGUUCA